GGACUCUGCUGGAUUUAAUUCUGCUAGGUAUGGUGCUACCGGACCGGACUCUGCUGGACUUAAUUCUGCUAGGUAUGGUGCUACCGGACUGCACUCUGUUCAGCUGGAUUGGAUCUGUUUGGCUAGACUCUCCUGGAACGGGCUCUGUGGGCUAGACUCUGCCAGGCUGGAACGGGCUCUUACCAGCGGUGUUGUAUAAGGCUUGUGUUUCCUCUGUCUAAGUGGUUUGCAGGGUUUGUGGUCAUCUUUGCUCUUGGAGCUCUUUGAUUCUGCUGACACGCAUGCAGCUUGGGAUCUUCCUGAGUACUUAAUCAUGUAAUGUAUUUUUAUUUUUACAAGAUACCG
ensembl:lncRNA